UGACAACAUUCGUCAAGCUUAUUUAGUAGAGUUUUGAUCGUUCAGUCGACCUCAACCCGCAUUGCAGUUCGUAAAUUUGUUUACGUUGCAUAUGGAUAACGAAAUUUCAUAUACACAUUGAAUAAAAAAGUUUUAGUUAAUUGACAAUUUAGUUUAAAGAAGUUAAUAAAAGUAUAGAUUUCCAUAUUUUGACAGUUAGCACGACGAUAAUCAUGAGAAUAGUUUUUAACAAGAAAGUACUGAUAUGGGCAGUGAUAGUAGCAUUGAUUGUAGUUGGUGGGAUCCUUGGAUUGGCAUUUGGUUUAAAAAAUGAAAGACAUAUUGUUGCCGCGGUAGUUUCCAAUGGAAGAGGUUGUGCCGAUAUAGGCAGUCAAAUGUUGAAUGAUGGUGGAUCAGCUGUGGAUGCGGCAAUUGCAACCCUAAUUUGUGAGGGUAUCAUUCUACCACACAGUAUGGGGAUUGGCGGGGGUUUCUUUGCUACAAUAUAUACCAAGUCCACUCGUAAAAUAGAGACUUUGGUUGCACGAGAGAUGGCUCCUUCUCGAUCUCGAAAAGACAUGUUUGUUGGGGAACAAAAUGUUAACGGUGCUCGUGCUGGUGCUGUACCUGGAGAGGUACUUGGAUAUUGGGAAAUGCACAGAAAAUAUGGUCGCCUUCCAUGGAAAGUGCUAUUUCAACCAACGAUAAAAUUAUGUAAAGAAGGUCAUUGGGUUUCUAGGUACCUUGCUGCAGCCAUACAAUCUAGGCUGACCGAAAUUCGCAACGAACCUUCAAUGUCAGAAAUUUUUCUAAAGGAGGAUGGUACACCAUUUGUGGAAGGAGAUUAUAUGAAGCGGAUUCAAUUGGGUAUUACACUAGAAAAAAUUGCUGAAAAUGGUGCCGGGGAGCUUUACGGAGGCGGAGAAGUCGGUAAAUUGUUCAUAGAAGAUAUUGAAGAACUUGGUGGAAUUAUUACCGAAGAUGAUUUGAAAAACUACAAAGUACGUUGGGAGGACACUAACCACAUUAUAGCAAACGUAACAGGGGGAUAUACUCUUUAUACCACACCUCUUCCAUCUAGUGGCGCCGUACUUGCAUUUAUGCUAAAUGUUUUGACCGAUUCUUAUACUGAUAAUGAAGAAAUUUACUGGCAACGCGUGGUUGAAACAUUUAAGCAUGCCUAUGGCCAACGCACAAAUUUGGGUGAUAUGGAAAAUGAACCCGACCUAAAGCAGACAAUUGAAGAAACAUUUUCUAAUUUAAUUAGCCAAGAGUUUGCAGAUCAUGUACGAACAUUAAUUUUUGAUAAUAAGACAUUUAAUAAUUACGAAUAUUAUGGUGCAAACUUCACCUAUGUAGAAGAUCACGGAACCGCUAAUAUGGCGGUAUUAGCUGCGAAUGGCGAUGCUGUAACUGUUACCAGUACAAUAAACAAUUAUUUUGGUGCUAAAGUUCGAUCACGUCGCACUGGUAUUAUUCUUAACGAUGAAAUGGACGACUUUUCCACGCCUGGCAUAGUGAAUGGUUUUGGAAUACCUGCCUCCCCUGCCAAUUAUAUACAUCCCGGAAAAAGACCCAUGUCUUCCAUGUGCCCGGCAAUUAUACUUGAUCAAGAUGGCAAUGUACGAAUGAUGGUUGGAGCGGCUGGCGGAAGCAAGAUAACCACUUCAGUUGCGACGGUAUUCAUAAUUUAUUUUAUGCAUAUAUGUAUACAUACAUCUUGAUAUACAUACAUAUGUACGGGAAUUUUCGUUUUUUGAAAAAAAUAUUUAUUCAAUCGUCUACAUAAAUGUUGUCACCUUCAAAAUAGUCCUCAUUCGAUGUUAUGCAUUUAUGUCAGCGCUUUUUCCAAUCGUCGAUACACUUCUCAAACUCGAAUUUUGGGAUAGCCUUUAGCUCUUUCAGCGAUGCGCUUAAUGAAAUCUAUCCUUAGAAAAAGUAACACUUAGCCAAAUCUGACGAAUAUGGAGGCUGGGGCAUCGUAACACUAUUGUUUGUGGCCAAUAACUUAGAAACAAGCAACGAAGUGUGAGCUUUUAACACACGUUAAUCGCCAAGCUCAUAAAAACACGUCUAACCUUAGUGGCUGCUACAAACAAAGCAAUCAUCAAAUAUCUUAUUUUAAAUCAGUCAUUAAACGAAGCUAUAAAUGGAGGAAGACUACAUCAUCAGUUAGCCCCAAUGCAAUUAGAUAUUGAGCCUGAAGUAUCGCCAUCAGUGUAUGCAUAUCUCAGUAAAGUGGGUCACAUUAUAAAUGAUUCAUCAGAAGGUUCGGGAUUUGCUGCUGUGACUGCAAUCGGUGUACGUGACGGCAUUCCAGAACCAUUUUUUGAUCGACGACGAGUUGGAAGCACUUCCACGGUAUCCCUUGAAAACAAAAUGGUACAUUAAAAAUAAUUGGCAAUGCGCGGAGUUAUUACUUAAAAGCAACUAAUACAAACUGGUUAAAGUCUGUUAUAUAAGUUUGUUCAUGCAAUAAUUGUGAUAUUAAUAUACUAACGUUAGAUAUUGAUUGGAGAAGUAUUACCUACUUUAGUUUCAACUAUUUAAUUAAAAAAUAAAUAAAUUUAAACUUGGAAAUUUUUUUUGGUAAAA